rnacentral:rRNA from 1 species
UACAGAGGUCCCAAGCGUUGUUCGGAUUCACUGGGCGUAAAGGGUGCGUAGGCGGUCGGGUAAGUCUGAUGUGAAAUCUCACAGCUUAACUGUGAAACUGCAUUGGAUACUAUUCGGCUUGAGAGUUGGAGGGGGGACUGGAAUUCUUGGUGUAGCAGUGAAAUGCGUAGAUAUCAAGAGGAACACCAGUGGCGAAGGCGAGUCCCUGGACAACUUCUGACGCUGAGGCACGAAAGCUAGGGGGAGCAAACAGG